AUUUGUUCAUGAAGCGAUCUCCGGCGAUGGCGCAGCGCUUUCCCGGUGAUCUUUUUCUCCUCAAUCUCAGGCUGCCAAUAGCACACAAGCCCAAUUAUGGAGGUUUUCGAAAAAAUGUCGUCAAAGCUGAAGAAGAUUAGGUUCUCAGAAUUCCUAAAGAACGGUGCAGUUAUCGCCGUGUAUGCCUUUCCCGGCCUAUUCAUUUUCUAUUUUUUCCGUUGUGUGAGAACGACUCCUCUAUUUUUCUCGUAGCGUUUGUUUUUGAAGCGAUAUCUAGCGACGACACAGCGCUUUCCUGACGAUCUUUUUCUCCUCAAUCUCAGACGGCCAGUAGCACACAGGCCCAAUCAUGGAGGUCUCCGAAAAAAUGUCAUCAAAGAUGAAGAAGCAACACAAGGCAAAGCGAUCCAAUCUGACGUGUUAUAGCCCAGCAUUGGUGGCAGAGGCUUGUUGGGCUUUAUCCGACGAGCACCCUGAGGUUCUCGAGGAGAUCAGACUCGACGUUGUAUUGUGUUGAUAUAAUAGCCUACUUAAUAGAGAUGAUGGUAAUGACACCCACUUAAUAGAGAUGGUAGACUCAUCACCACC